rnacentral:rRNA from 1 species
GCCUAAAAAUCUCAUAAACAUCACUCUAAAAAUCUUUCCUAAAUAAAACAUUUUAUGUUUUAGUAGAGGCGAUCGAAAAAACUUAAGCGCUUAAGAAAUAGUACCACAAGGGAAACAUGAAAUAAAAAUGAAAAAAACUAAAGCUAACAACAGCAGAGACCUUAACUCGUACCUUUUGCAUCAUGGUCUAGCUAGUCUAACCAGGCAAAAUGAAAAUUUAAGUCCGUCCUCCCGAAACUAAGCGAGCUACUUCAAAACAGCCUCAGCCAACCCGUCUCUGUUGCAAUAGAGUGGGAAGAUUUUCAAGUAGAAGUGAUAAGCCAACCGAGCUUAGAGAUAGCUGGUUAUUCAGGAAAAGAAUAUUAGUUCUGCCUCAAAUUAUAUUAUGCCAAAAACAACAUAACAAAUUUUAGAGUUAUUCAAAUAAGGAACAGCUUAUUUGAAAUAGGGCACAGCCUAAACAAUAGGGUAAAUAUAUCUUAUAUACCAACAAGUGGGCCUAAAAGCAGCCAUCUUUAAAAAAGCGUUAAAGCUUAAUUUUAUAAUACAUUAAUAUAAAACAUAAUUAUGAACCCACCUAAAUUACUGAAUGAUCUUAUUUUAUUUAUAAGACCCAUCAUGCUAGAACUAGUAACAAGAACACAACAUUCUCCUAAAUGUAAGCAUAAACCAAAAUGGAUAUCCCACUGGUAUUUAACGAACAUGAAUUACUUACAGUAACAAAACAAGAAAAUCCUGUAUUAAUCUAUCGUUAACCUAACACUAGAACACUUCAGGAAAGAUUAAAAGAGAAAGAAGGAACUCGGCAAAUCUUAACCUCGCCUGUUUACCAAAAACAUCGCCUCUUGCUUAAUUAUAAGAGGUCAGGCCUGCCCGGUGAUAAAAUUAAACGGCCGCGGUAUCCUAACCGCGCGAAGGUAGCAUAAUCACUUGUUCCUUAAAUAGGGACCUGUAUCAACGGCACAACGAAGGUUAUACUGUCUCCUCUCUCCAAUCAGUGAAACUGAUCUCCCUGUGAAAAAGCAGGAAUAAUUUUAUAAGACGAGAAGACCCCAUGGAGCUUCAAACCCACCGCAACUCAAACACUAAAUCCCAUUUACCCCUUAGAGACAUGCCCAUCGGUUUUAGGUUGGGGUGACCGAGGAGCAAAACAAAACCUCCUUAACGUAAAGACCUUAAUCUUCAUCCAAGAGCUACUGCCCUAAGAACUAGAACACUAACGCACACUGAUCCGAUAUUCGACCAAUGAACCAAGUUACCCUGGGGAUAACAGCGCAAUCUACUUAGAGAGUUCUUAUCGACAAGUGGGCUUAUGACCUCGAUGUUGGAUCA